AUGGUGCAAGGCUCGGAGGCCGAUAUUUCGAACCUGAAAUUCCUGUUGUUGUGCUUCUAGCAACUGUCGGGUCUCAAAAUAAACUUCGAUAAGAGCAAGGUGAUGGUUCUUGGCUACUCCCCCACUAAAAGUCAAAGUAUUGCUAACCGACUUAACUGUCGGCUGGGGUCGUUCCCCACCACCUACCUGGGGAUCCCCAUCAGUGACUCUCGACUCUCCGUGGCGGAUCUAAGGCCCUCCAUGCUCAAGCUUUAGCACCGCAUCGAGCCUUAUCAGGGCCGUUGGUUGUCUAAGGCGGCACGAAUGAUUCUCAUCAACUCCUCCAUGUCCAGCCUUCUUAUGUUCAUCAUGAGUUUCUACAGCCUUCCCGAGAUGCUUCACCAUGAGAUCGGCUCAGUUCAGACACGUUUCUAUUUGGCCGGUGAGGGCGAUAAGCAGAAAUACCAUAUGGUUCGCUGGACCGAUAUAUGCAAGCCUAGGGACCAAGACGGCCUCGGCAUCAUGUCCUCCAAGCGUAUGAACUUGGCGCUCCUCAUGAGAUGGCUCUGGCACAUUGCAAAUGGUGAGGGUGGCCUACGGUUGCAAAUCAUUCGGAACAAAUACUUGCGCGACCAGCCCCUUGCCUUUUUCACUAGUACGGGAGGGUCCCAGUUCUGGCAGUCCGUCAUCCAGCUUCUACCAGUUCUUCAUCUCGGGACCUCAAUCACGGUUGGCUCUGGGACAACCACUUUGUUUUGGUUUGACCGGUGGGAUGGGGACUCCCCUUCGCGGCCAGGUUCCUGGAUCUUUUCUCCAUCGCGGUGGAGCCUAGGAUCUCCGUCGAGACGAACCUUAUUAACUUAG
rnacentral:rRNA from 1 species